rnacentral:rRNA from 1 species
UACGAAGGGUGCAAGCGUUAAUCGGAAUUACUGGGCGUAAAGCGCGCGUAGGUGGUUCAGUAAGUUGGAAGUGAAAUCCCCGGGCUCAACCUGGGAACUGCUUUCAAAACUGCUGAGCUAGAGUACGGUAGAGGGUGGUGGAAUUUCCUGUGUAGCGGUGAAAUGCGUAGAUAUAGGAAGGAGCACCAGUGGCGAAGGCGACCACCUGGACUGAUACUGACACUGAGGUGCGAAAGCAUGGGGAGCAAACAGG